rnacentral:rRNA from 1 species
GGAUGAACGCUAGCGGCAGGCUUAAUACAUGCAAGUCGAACGGUAAGUUUGGUAGCAAUAUCAAACCAAGAGUGACGUACGGGUGCGUAACACGUAUGCAACCUACCCUUGUACAGGAGUAUAGCUCGGGGGAAACUCGAAUUAACCCUCCAUGAGAUCAUAGAAAUGGCAUCAUUUAGUGAUUAAAACUCAGGUGGUACAAGGUGGGCAUGCGUCUGAUUAGUUAGNGGCGGGGUAAUGGCCCACCAAGACGAUGAUCAGGUAGGGGACCUGAGAGGGUGACUCCCCCANACUGGCACUGAGAUACGGGCCAG